rnacentral:rRNA from 1 species
UGGUGGAGCGAUUUGUCUGGUUAAUUCCGAUAACGAACGAGACUCUGGCCUAUUAAAUAGUUCGCCGAUUCCGAUCUGUCGGCGUUAACUUCUUAGAGGGACAAGUGGCUUUUAGCCACGCGAGAUUGAGCAAUUACA